CGGGGCGUAGCGCAGCUGGCUAGCGCACUUGAAUGGGGUUCAAGAGGUCGUGGGUUCAAAUCUCACCGCUCCGACCA
rnacentral:tRNA from 1 species